ACUUUAAUUGAUUUCUUCGGAAUGAAGUUUUUGUGACUGAGUGGCGGACGGGUGAGUAACGCGUGGGUAACCUGCCUCAUACAGGGGGAUAACAGUUGGAAACGACUGCUAAUACCGCAUAAGCGCACAGGAUUGCAUGAUCCAGUGUGAAAAACUCCGGUGGUAUGAGAUGGACCCGCGUCUGAUUAGCCAGUUGGCGGGGUAACGGCCCACCUAGUCUUCGAUGGAUAGGGGUUCUGAGAGGAAGGUCCCCACAUUGGAACUGAGACACGGUCCAAACUCC
rnacentral:rRNA from 1 species